ACCUGGACUAACCACAGAAACCAAGUAAAGAGACCAUGGGAAGAGAGCCAUGGACUAUCUAACAACAAUCCCAGUGCCAGGCAGAGGAAAGCUUCAAGUUUGGUCAAGAGAGUUAUCUCCCAGUAAUAUAAGCUAUUGCUGCUGCCGUUGGUAGUCUACCAGAACUCAGAGGCGUUGACACUAUUGCUAAAAAUCCCACAUACUUCACACCCAAGACUUGGAAGAAUCAAGCUGAACUGACCUGGAAGCCUCCUCCCUGAAGACUAGCUCUCUGAGCGCCUGAAGAUACUACGCAGGCUGCCAGAGGAGAAAAGCCACCAGCAGUCCUACCCAGCUGUGAAGCCUACGAACCACACAGACCAGCACAGCCAUAGAGCCUCAAGGGUAAAAUGGUAGCACUUAAACCUGGGGCAACCACAGCUGUCUAUCGGAAG